rfam:Ailuropoda melanoleuca scaffold646_1, whole genome shotgun sequence.
ACCUGACUGGCUCAGUUGGAAGAGUAUGUGAUUCUUGAUCUCAGGGUCAUGAGUUCGAACCCCAUGUUGGGUG